rnacentral:rRNA from 1 species
CGGCCGUAAACUAUGCUCGCUAGGUGUCAGGCAUGGCGCGACCGUGUCUGGUGCCGCAGGGAAGCCGUGAAGCGAGCCACCUGGGAAGUACGGCCGCAAGGCUGAAACUUAAGGAAUUGGCGGGAGCACAACAACGGGUGGAGCCUGCGGUUUAAUUGGACUCAACGCCGGACAACUCACCGGGGACGGACAGCAAUAUGUAGGCCAGGCUGAAGACCUUGCCUGAAUCGCUGAGAGGAGGUGCAUGGCGUAGACGUCU